GCACAGUCGACAGUGACAAUUUUCGGAUAAACUUCCUGGUUUUUGUCAAAGGGGCAGAACCUACUACCUGGUAGUUUCAAUGAUGAACUAUCAUGAUAUAGGGCUAAAAGAUGGAUGUGCCAAAUCCACCUCAUGAAAAACAGGUUGGGCAAAAGUGGAGUGCGAACACUAAAUGAUGUGCUGCUACAUAUCUUUACAAGUGAAUUUGGCAAAUCCUGAUGCAACCUGAGCUUACCAAGUUUACUGACAGUUAGGACUCUGUGUGGAUGAUAAUAUGGACAAGGUGAUUUUUGUUCAAAGAAUAAAUACAAUACUUUUUUAUUGAUGUGCAUGAAUUUGAGUAAAAAAAUAUCAACAAUGUGUAUCUUGUGUUGUUUUUCCAAUCAGUCUGUCAUCCAUAGGUAAUAUAUUAAGUAUGAGAAGGGAAUAUUAUUUUUUUUACAUUUUUGUUGUUUCUGCACACCAUGUCAGAUACAUGAACAUAUAUUUUAUGCCCCCAAAGGGCGGCAUAUAGUUUUCGCACUGUCCGUCUGUCAGUCUGUCUGUCCUCCGUAACACUUUUCGUGAUCACUCUCUAAUUCAAGUAGUUCUAAUCCGAUCGCCAAACUUGGUCAGAAGUUGCAUCCGGAUAAUGUCUAGGUCAAGAAGAACAUGGGUCAUGCCGGGCCAAAAACUAUGUCAUAGGGUCACUUAGUGCGUUUCAAACAUUCAGCAUGGUGUCCGCUCUCUAAUUCAAGUAGUUUUCAUCCGAUCUUUCCUAAACUCUGUCAGAAGUUGUAUCUACAUAAUGUCUACGCCAAGUGUGAACAUGGGGCAUGCCGGGCAAAAAACUAGUUCACUAGGUCACUAAUUGCGUUUUAAACAUUCAGCUUGGUGUCCGCUCUCUAAUUCAAGUAGUUUUCAUCUGAUCUUCACCAAACUUGUUCACAAGUUUUAUCUAGAUGGUCUCUAGGCCAAGUUCGAACAUGCAUGCAAAGAAUUGGCAGAAAAAAACAUCUACAAACUGCAGCAGAUGACAUAUGUAACAAUCAAAAUUUAAAUAUUGAACACCUGUUAUGUAGCAAACUAAUAGUUAAAUAAAAUAAAGGCGAUGUAUAUCUCAAAAACAUUUACACACUUAUGCUUUUAUGUAGUGACAAAGUUACAGUUGGGGGCAUCCGUGUCGUGUGGACACAUUUGUUUGAUUAAUGA